rnacentral:rRNA from 1 species
AUUGAACGCUGGCGGCAUGCCUAACACAUGCAAGUCGAACGGCAGCACAGCAGUAGCAAUACUGUGGGUGGCGAGUGGCGGACGGGUGAGGAAUACGUCGGAAUCUGCCCAGUCGUGGGGGAUAACUAGCCGAAAGGUUAGCUAAUACCGCAUACGACCGAGAGGUGAAAGCGGGGGACCGCAAGGCCUCGCGCGAUUGGAUGAGCCGACGUCGGAUUAGCUAGUUGGUAGGGUAACGGCCUACCAAGGCGAUGAUGGGUAGCUGGUCUGAGAGGAUGAUCAGCCACACUGGAACUGAGACACGGUCCAGACUCCUACGGGAGGCAGCAGUGGGGAAUAUUGCGCAAUGGGCGAAAGCCUGACGCAGCCACGCCGCGUGAGUGAUGAAGGCCUUCGGGUCGUAAAACUCUGUCGGGAGGGACGAAGGGGGCGAACCCUGGCGGUACCUCGCAAGAAAGCACCGGCUAACUCUGUGCCAGCAGCCGCGGUAAU